rnacentral:tRNA from 1 species
GGCGGAAUUGGUAGACGCGCCAGUCUCAGGAGUUGGUGUUCACGGGGACGUGCUGGUUCGAAUCCAGCC